CUACGGGUGGCAGCAGUGGGGAAUAUUGGACAAUGGGCGAAAGCCUGAUCCAGCAAUGCCGCGUGAGUGAUGAAGGCCUUAGGGUUGUAAAGCUCUUUUACCAGGGAUGAUAAUGACAGUACCUGGAGAAUAAGCUCCGGCUAACUCCGUGCCAGCAGCCGCGGUAAUACGGAGGGAGCUAGCGUUGUUCGGAAUUACUGGGCGUAAAGCGUGCGUAGGCGGCUUUUCAAGUCAGGGGUGAAAUCCCGGGGCCCAACCCCGGAACUGCCCUUGAAACUGGAUGGCUAGAAUACUGGAGAGGUGAGUGGAAUUCCGGGUGUAGAGGUGAAAUUCGUAGAUAUUCGGAAGAACACCAGUGGCGAAGGCGACUCACUGGGCAGUUAUUGACGCUGAGGUGCGAAAGCGUGGGGAGCAAACAGGAUUAGAUACCCCCGUAGUC
rnacentral:rRNA from 1 species